UACAGAGGGCGCGAGCGUUGUCCGGAAUCACUGGGCGUAAAGGGCGCGUAGGUGGCCACUAUAAGGCCGCGGUGAAAGUUCGGGGCUCAACCCUGAAUCUGCCGCGGCGACUGUAGGGCUAGGGCACCGUAGAGGCAGAUGGAAUUCCGGGUGUAGCGGUGGAAUGCGUAGAGAUCCGAAGGAACACCGGUGGCGAAGGCGGCUUCCUGGACCGACACUGACGCUGAGGCGCGAAAGCUAGGGGAGCAAACGGG
rnacentral:rRNA from 1 species